AAUAGCCUAACGGCUGAACCAGCAACUUGGGGGAAUGUAUAUCAAAUGUUUGAUAGUAAAGAACUCUGUUCUAUAAAAUUCUAGAUAAAAAGGUGAAAGGACAUUUUUUAUUUAUAUGUCUUGACCAAGUCACGUGCCAGCAGUCGCGGUAAUACGUGGAAGACUAGUGUUAUUCAUCUUUAAUCGGUUUAAAGGGUACCUAGACAGUCAAUCAAGCCUAACAAAGGGACUAGUAGACUAGAGUGUAAUAUAAGAACUUAGUAUGAUGAAGUGAAGAGAUCAAAUUCUGUAAUACCAUUCUACACUGGCAAAGGCGAAAGCAAUUUUUUAUGUAAACACUGACGUUGAGGGACGAAGGCUUUAAGUUACGAACAGGAUUAGUUACCCUAGUAGUGAAAGCAGACAAUGAUGAGUGUCAUAUGUAAGUUAAUAAUUUGUGUAUAAAUGAAAGUGUAAACACUCCACCUCAAGAGUAAUACGGCAACGUAUAAACUGAAAUCACUAGACCGUUUNUGAAACCAGCAGUGAAGUAUGUUGUUUAAUUUGAUGGUCCACGGAAAACCUUACCACAAUAUGAAUAUUUAUAUUUUAAUAUAUUUACAGGUGUUGCACGGCUGUCUUCAGUUAAUGUCGUGAGAUUUUGGUUAGCUCCAUUAAAUUAAUGUAAACCCUUACUUUAUUUUUUUUUUAUAUAUUAGGUGCCCAGGCCUAAUAUAGCUAAAUUUAUACCUCUUACUUUUUUUAAGUAUUAAGUAUAUUUCGCCUUUUUUAGGCUUUAGUUUCUAUGAAUUCUUCUCUUAGAAUAAAACAUAAAGUAGUUCUUCGCUAAAUUGAAUUGUGAUAACAGGGACUAAGACAAGUCAUCAUGACUCUAACAUUGU
rnacentral:rRNA from 1 species